UUCCUCUCACCGUAUCCGCUUCGCCCUCGCCGUCCUCUCUUCCUCGUCUCGCCUGUUCGGAAACUGCAGCCUGUAGAUCGCCCGUUCUCCGUGCCUACCACGCGAUCCGCGCCGUCGUCGGUGGCCGGUGCUGCUCCAUGGCAGCCCUCUGUCGCGGGUUCGGUUGAGGCGAGCUGCUGCUUCACCGCCGGGAGUUUAUUUUGUUGCGUUCACGGAUUCAGGGCGUUUAUUCGCCAGCCUUAUUUUGGUCUCUCGUUUUUUUUGCCCAUGCCUUUUUCCUUGACCGUCCUCACGAGAGACAAACUGCAAUCGCUUCCUUCCUUCCUUCCCAGAUCAAAUUUCGAUUCGUCUGUUUUGGAUUCUUCCGUUUCGUUGCCGGUCGAUGCCUUUUCCAUGAAAACUUGUCGUCUUCCUGGUUCGAUUGAUGGCCUUAUAUCUGUAUUCUGUAGGAAGAGGCCCGUGUCCUCCUUUUCCCCUGAUCUGGUGGAUUUUUUUCGGCUCUUGGAUUCUUCCACUUCAUGGCCGGCAGAUGCUUAACCAAUAAAUUAGCAUAGUUAGUUGGAUCUGACAAUCUUCCCCAUAAAAAUUUCGCAUCUUUCUGGUCCGAUUACUGCCCAUGUUUCUGGAGGCAGAGGACAGUGUAUUCCUUUUCCCGGAUCUAGCUGGCCGUUUCCCCUUUUCUUUUAGAUUAUCCUUACUAUAACGGCUUCCAAUGGUUUCUCUGCCUGGCGUGAUUUAUAAUGGCUCUGUGUUUCGUCUUUGAAGGUCGUCGUUGUGCUGGGAUUUCCGUGUCGGUUGGCCGCGGCUGCUCUUGCUGGUCUGCUGUCUGCUUGUGUUCUUGGUGAGUAUGCUCUGUAACGCUUAGUGGUGGUCAUGGAGCACUAUCCUCGAUGCUCAUGGUCGUCCAGAUUAGCUUAGAACCCCAACUUGUUAAUUGGUGUUUCUUUGUGACCGGUGAAUUAGUAUAUCAUGUGAGAAGAGCAGAGCUCACUGUUAUUAGUAAUGGAAGUAUUUCAUCUUUAAUUCCACGGCACAAGAUAUACUGCCAGUUGUUUAUUAACAUUUGUUUCAGCGAUUUUGUAGAAGUGUGAUAUGUUAGCUAGCUUUCCAGUAUUAAUUUCGCUUUAACAUGCAUAGAUCUUGUUAUAAUUAAUUUCUUGCUUUGUACUAUAUUUUAUUCAGGAUACACAUGGCUGUUCGUAUCUGAAGUUUAGCAUGAUAUUCACGGUUUUGUUAUAAUUUAUUUCUCGCCUCCCUUUAAUUAAAAUAAGAUGUCUUGCGGUGCUAAUCUGUGGGUUAUGAUUUUGUUGGCUAAUGAAGAUAUUAGCAACUUCCGAUUCACCGAAUGCUUGCCAUUUCUCAAAUUUGGUCUUUUUAAAACAGUAUUGUUGUUUUGUAGUGGCCUUUUGGAGAUAGUUUUGGAUAUCGCGAAAUAUGUUGUUUGAUAUUGUUGUUAUUCCAGGCUAGCUGCUACUGUGGGUUGGCUGUCGUGCGUGUCUUCCUGUCAGAUAAAUCUCUUUGCCUAUUUCAGAUCCCCGCAUGUUCAGCUAUUUUUUUGCAUUUGUUGCCUGUUUUAUAUAAUGGCAUGUUAAACCUGAUGCAUUUUUCUAGCCAGUAGUGCUUUCGUUAUUGCUCUAAAUUUUCAAUUUGGUACCCUUGUAUUUUUCACCCAAACUUUGUGAGGUGUAAAUCAUUUGUGAACUCGAAAAGCACCGGUAUGCUUGUGGUAUGCUUUUUCUCCUGCUUAGUUUUGUUCUUAUUUGGUUACAUUUCAUUGCCGAUAAGAAAAUGUCUUCUUCUCAUGUUUGUUCUUGCUUCUGAGAAGAGAUGCUUAUUCAGUAAUAGACAUAGAAAGUGAGAUCUACCUAUUGGUUGUGCUGGGUUAAUUCUUUCGUCUAUUUCGGUUGUGGACCAUGAUGCCCGCUCGCUGCUGUUUCUCCUUGCAUUUGGUUCUUUAUGUGUAAAUAAGGUUAGUUUGCUUUUGGAUAUAUGGAUUGUCUUAGCUUUCCAUUGCAUUUGUUGUGUUGUCUUACCUUUGCUCUUGCCUGCAUGCAGUUUUUCACUUAACGUCUGCAUUUGCUGUUUGUUUCAGGAUAUCUGCUGCCGUAAUUUCUUGUCUAUCAGGUUGUGACCUCUCUGCCUGUUCUAUAUCAGUGCAUAGUUAGCUCUUUCUUACAUACUCUUUAUUGUUGUUGGUGACGGUGGAUAGCAUAUUCCUAAUAAGAGUGCCUCUGGGAUUUUCCCUAUGUUGGUGUGUCAUGUGUGUCCCCUUCUUGCGCUUAUUUAUUUUGUGACACAGGAUGUUUGUUGUCUGCUAUUCCCCUCUGCAUUUGUUGGAGUUGGUUGCUUCCCACUGUCGGUUGUCAUACCAUUCCUACCUAUGUGAGGUGGGCGCUGAUGGUUCCAUCCUUGGAGCGUGGAGCUUGAGAUCGCUGUUGUCCAGGAGGGAGCCGCGCCCACCCGGUUCUUUUUUGAUCAGUUAUUUUCAUGUCGUGUUAUUUGUCAUGAUGAAAUAUUCUUUCUACUGUGUCAUAGACAUGUACUCUUUUUCUGCAGUCCUCCCUUGCUUGUGCUAUUUGAACUUCUUUAUUUCGGUCUACAUAUCUAGCUGCUUACAUUAUCUUUUGUAAAUAGGUUGGUUCUGAAGCGAUGUUUCUCUAGACACCGCAAUCUGUCUCCAAGCCUCCCGGACCUAGCGACGGAACAGUGUGCCUCUUUCACAUGUGAAGGAAGAAGGCCCUGUUCACUCAAAUAUCGCCUGACCAUGGGUUAAAAGCUGCAUCAUAGUUUUCCCCUCAAAUUCAGACUGAAGAGGUUGAAUUACCUAUGCUUCCUGCUCCGGAUUCUAUGUCUGCCAAGUCUGCUGCUCCUACAACUGACAAAACUUCAACCAAGUUAGUCUUCGUUUUUUCUCUGUACUCAGCUACUGAUUUCGUUGAUUAGAAAACAGACUUGAUUAGAAACGACAGAACAUAAUAGUUGGGUUUGGUUUCUACAUCUUGGUACUAUUCUUUAUACUGUGCCUAUGUUUUUUAAGCUACAUGUUGUCUUCUCUUUAGUACUGGGGACCAUUCAUCCUGUUGUUUGUUGUUUAUCCUCUACUUACAGAUUGGGUGUAGCCUACAACUAUGUGACUUGUUUGUUGUCAGCUGGUUAUUUCGUGUGGUUCGGUGUUGAAAAUCUAUGCCUGGAACAAUAUAAGACGCAAUCAGAGAGUUGAGGAGGAGAAGGUGAACCGUGCAUGGCUCUGUCAGGAAGACUUUGUCAACUCCUGGCUCGAUGCAGUUAUUUCUAUCUAUGAAAAAGACCUUGCUUGCAUAUCUGUGUUUUGUUUUUCUUUGUGUCCUAAUUAGGUUUACCUUUCCUUGGUACAGUGAUCUCUAAUGACUAUGUUGUGAAAAUGCCCAGCUUAUAUUGAUGAUGACGUUUGUGUUCCCUCUUUGCUUUUGCUGCUCUCGAUCGAAUCAACGAAUGUUAGCUGCUACAAUAUAUUCCCUCGUGUUUCCUGGUUUGAAAAUGCCCAGCUUAUAUUGAUGAUGAUUUUGGUGUUUCUUCUUUGCUUUUGCUUCUCUCGAUCGAAUCAACGAAUGUUAGCUGCUACAAUAUAUUCCCUCAUGUUUCCUGGUUUGUUACUCUGUUUGUAAUUUUGUGUGGUUCACUAGGUUUUGUAAAACCUAAGAAAGUAUUAUCAUUUUCCCACAUAUACAAGAGUUUUAUGGGGUCGCGUGCCAAUGCGCACCAUUCAUUGACCUAGCACUGAGGUUCCUAUUUCUAUUUUAGGUCUGAAAAAAAGAGUUGUUCUAGAUCUAAAACUAUUAAAAGAACUAUGCAUGGUACUGUACCUAUUUCUCCUAGCAGCGUGUUCCAGGUAUGAAACUAUUAUCAUUGAUGCCAUUUGUUUCACAGCUAACUCCAUACACAGUACAAGUUUAGUUAUGAAGUUUAAGUUUCAGGCUAAGAAGAUGAACUUUUGUUCGUAAGAUGUUAGCAACUCUAAAACAUGGAGAGCUGUUCAUCGUGAAUGUAUCUAAAUAAAUUUAGGCACCUAGCUUGGGUUAAUCUAUUAUCAUUGAUGACAUUUGUUUCACAGCUAACUCCAUACACAGUACAAGUUUAGUUAUGAAGCUAACUCCAUACACAGUUUAGUUAUGAAGUUUAAGUUUCAGUGUAAGAAGAUGAACUUUUGUUCGUAAGAUGUUAGCAAUUCUAGAACAUGGAGAGCUGUUCAUCGUGAAUGUAUCUAAAUAGAUUUAGGCACCUAGCUUGGGUUCAUCUAAAAAAAGUAUACAUAUGCAUUAGAUUUCAGUAUGCUUUUUGUUACGUGUGGUUAAUAGAGUUAAACAUUUAAUGUGCAGGGAGAGUUGACAGCGCACCACAAACCGAGGCCGUACAAGCAACUGCACAAUAGAGUAUGAGAUGCAAGAAUCUGGUCAAGCACCUCAAAGCCGUGAGUGGCAUUUGACAACUGAAGGUGUUAAUUAUCGUGAUAUUCCCAUGCCCUUGCGGCUUAUGCCACUAGGCAGACUGAUCUUGAUGAUGUUCGUGUUAUGGUGUCCAGCGAGUUAGCUAUGCCUGUCUAAUGGAAUAGAUUUGUUCCAGGUCAAAAGAAAAAAACUAGCUAACUUAAACAUGUUCCCUGAAAAACAGAGCUAGCUUAAAUAUGCCCUGUUAGGAUAAGUUGAUGAUUUUACCUAAACUUAAAUCUAUUAUUAUUGUAAGCACUAUUUUGGAGAAUGAUUUUACUCAAAUAGUUUUUCAUGCAUUGUUAA